rnacentral:rRNA from 1 species
UCGAGCGAGGCGGGGAGCAAUCCCCAGUCGAGCGGCGAACGGGUGAGUAACGCGUGGAUGACCUGCCCUUCAGCGGGGAAUAACCCGGGGAAACUCGGGCUAAUACCGCAUACGACCGAGAGGUGAAAGGGGGCCGCAAGGCUCUUACUGAAGGAGGGGUCCGCGUCCGAUUAGCUAGUUGGUAGGGUAAUGGCCUACCAAGGCGACGAUCGGUAGCCGGCCUGAGAGGGUGAUCGGCCACACUGGAACUGAGACACGGUCCAGACUCCUACGGGAGGCAGCAGUGGGGAAUUUUGCGCAAUGGGCGAAAGCCUGACGCAGCAACGCCGCGUGGAGGAUGAAGGUCUUUGGAUUGUAAACUCCUGUCAGCAGGGAAAAAGGGACUGGGCCUCAUACGUCCGGAACUUGAUUGUACCUGCAGAGGAAGCCCCGGCUAACUCUGUGCCAGCAGCCGCGGUAAUACAGAGGGGGCAAGCGUUA